rnacentral:rRNA from 1 species
GACGAACGCUGGCGGCGUGCUUAACACAUGCAAGUCGAACGGUGAAGCGCCUUCCUUUUUGGUGGGUGUGGAUGAGUGGCGAACGGGUGAGUAACACGUGAGUAACCUGCCCCCUUCUUCUGGAUAACCGCAUGAAAGUGUGGCUAAUACGGGAUCUUCUGGGUCUGUCGCAUGAUGGGUCUGGGAAAGAUAUUGUUUCGGUGGGGGAUGGGCUCGCGGCCUAUCAGCUUGUUGGUGGGGUGAUGGCCUACCAAGGCGGUGACGGGUAGCCGGCCUGAGAGGGUGGACGGUCACACUGGGACUGAGACACGGCCCAGACUCCUACGGGAGGCAGCAGUGGGGAAUAUUGCACAGUGGGCGCAAGCCUGAUGCAGCGACGCCGCGUGAGGGAUGGAGGCCUGCGGGUUGUGAACCUCUUUCGCCAGUGAAGCAGGCCUGCCUCGUUUGUGGGUGGGUUGACGGUAGCUGGAGAAGAAGCGCCGGCUAACUACGUG